UUUGAUGUGGGAGAAUGCUUAACCCAGGGGCUGCCCUAUGUGUAUCCUCUUGGACCUAUAGUGGCUGAAUGUCCUUUUUGAGAUCCUGCAGCUGUUGACCCUGAGUGGGAGAAUGCCUUAUCCAGGUGUAGUCUUGUGCACACCUUUCCAGACCCAUAGCAGUGGUUUGGUUGCAGAGCUGUGAUUAUAUGGACAUUCUCCACACUUGGUAUACAGCAGUUCAGACAUGCAGCCCCAUUGGAAUGUGCUGAUAGAGAUAUACUUUUAAUUAUUCGGCUUCAUUAUAUUAUGAUUGGAUUUGA